rnacentral:rRNA from 1 species
GAUGAAUGCUGGCGGCGUGCCUAACACAUGCAAGUCGAGCGGUAAGGCCCUUCGGGGUACACGAGCGGCGGACGGCUGAGUAACGCGUGGGAAUUUGCCCCAAAGUGAGGAAUAACUGCCCGAAAGGGUAGCUAAUGCCGCAUAUGGUCUUCGGAUUAAAGAAUUUAUUCGCUUUGGGAGAAGCCCGCGUUGGAUUAGGUAGUUGGUAGAGUAAUAGCCUACCAAGCCAACGAUCCAUAACUGGUCUGAGAGGAUGAUCAGUCAGACUGGAACUGAGACACGGUCCAGACUCCUACGGGAGGCAGCAGUGAGGAAUAUUCCACAAUGGGGGAAACCCUGAUGGAGCAACGCCGCGUGCAGGAUGAAGGCCUUCGGGUCGUAAACUGCUUUUAUGAGUGAAGAAUAUGACGGUAACUCAUGAAUAAGCACCGGCUAACUACGUG